UGGGGAUCUGCCUGAUGGCGGGGGACAACCACUGGAAACGGUGGCUAAUACCGCAUAAUACCUACGGGUCAAAGUGUGGGACCUUCGGGCCACACGCCAUCAGAUGAACCCAAGCGAGAUUAGCUAGUUGGUGAGGUAACGGCUCACCAAGGCGACGAUCUCUAGCUGUUCUGAGAGGAUGAUCAGCCACACUGGGACUGAGACACGGCCCAGACUCCUACGGGAGGCAGCAGUGGGGAAUAUUGGACAAUGGGCGCAAGCCUGAUCCAGCCAUGCCGCGUGUGUGAAGAAGGCCUUCGGGUUGUAAAGCACUUUCAGUGGUGAGGAAGGCGUUGUAGUUAAUAGCUGCAACGAUUGACGUUAGCCACAGAAGAAGCACCGGCUAACUCCGUGCCAGCAGCCGCGGUAAUACGGAGGGUGCGAGCGUUAAUCGGAAUUACUGGGCGUAAAGCGCACGUAGGCGGCUUGUUAAGCAAGAUGUGAAAGCCCAGGGCUCAACCUUGGAAUUGCAUUUUGAACUGGCAAGCUAGAGUUUUGAAGAGGGUGGUAGAAUUUCCAGUGUAGCGGUGAAAUGCGUAGAUAUUGGAAGGAAUACCAGUGGCGAAGGCGGCCACCUGGUCAAAAACUGACGCUGAGGAGCGAAAGCGUGGGGAGCAAACAGGAUUAGAUACCCUGGUAGUCCACGCCGUAAACGAUGUCAACUAGUUGUUCGUGUCUUUGAGACGUGAGUAACGCAGCUAACGCACUAAGUUGACCGCCUGGGGAGUACGGCCGCAAGGUUAAAACUCAAAUGAAUUGACGGGGGCCCGCACAAGCGGUGGAGCAUGUGGUUUAAUUCGAUGCAACGCGAAGAACCUUACCAUCCCUUGACAUCCAGAGAAUUUUCUAGAGAUAGAUUAGUGCCUUCGGGAACUCUGAGACAGGUGCUGCAUGGCUGUCGUCAGCUCGUGUUGUGAGAUGUUGGGUUAAGUCCCGCAACGAGCGCAACCCUUAUCCUUAGUUGCCAGCACAUAAUGGUGGGAACUCUAGGGAGACUGCCGGUGAUAAACCGGAGGAAGGUGGGGACGACGUCAAGUCAUCAUGGCCCUUACGGGAUGGGCUACACACGUGCUACAAUGGCGCACACAAAGGGCAGCAAGCUAGCGAUAGUAAGCGAAUCUCAAAAAGUGCGUCGUAGUCCGGAUCGGAGUCUGCAACUCGACUCCGUGAAGUCGGAAUCGCUAGUAAUCGUGGAUCAGAAUGCCACGGUGAAUACGUUCCCGGGCCUUGUACACACCGCCCGUCACACCA
rnacentral:rRNA from 1 species